ACCCGCUGAACUUAAGCAUAUCAAUAAGCGGAGGAAAAGAAACCAACAGGAAUUGCCCUAGUAACGGCGAGUGAAGCGGCAACAGCUCAAAUUUGAAAUCUGGCGUCUUUGGCGUCCGAGUUGUAAUUUGCAGAGGGCGCUUUGGCAUUGGCAGCGGUCCAAGUUCCUUGGAACAGGACGUCACAGAGGGUGAGAAUCCCGUACGUGGUCGCUAGCCUUUACCGUGUAAAGCCCCUUCGACGAGUCGAGUUGUUUGGGAAUGCAGCUCUAAAUGGGAGGUAAAUUUCUUCUAAAGCUAAAUACUGGCCAGAGACCGAUAGCGCACAAGUAGAGUGAUCGAAAGAUGAAAAGCACUUUGGAAAGAGAGUUAAAAAGCACGUGAAAUUGUUGAAAGGGAAGCGCUUGCAGCCAGACUUGCCUGUAGUUGCUCAUCCGGGUUUUUACCCGGUGCACUCUUCUAUAGGCAGGCCAGCAUCAGUUUGGGCGGUUGGAUAAAGGUCUCUGUCAUGUACCUCUCUUCGGGGAGAACUUAUAGGGGAGACGACAUGCAACCAGCCCGGACUGAGGUCCGCGCAUCUGCUAGGAUGCUGGCGUAAUGGCUGU
rnacentral:rRNA from 1 species